AGAUUAAGUUAUUAAGGGCGCACGGUGGAUGCCUUGGCACUAGAAGCCGAUGAAGGACGUUACUAACGACGAUAUGCUUUGGGGAGCUGUAAGUAAGCUUUGAUCCAGAGAUUUCCGAAUGGGGAAACCCAGCAUGAGUUAUGUCAUGUUAUCGAUAUGUGAAUACAUAGCAUAUCAGAAGGUACACCCGGAGAACUGAAACAUCUUAGUACCCGGAGGAAGAGAAAGAAAAUUCGAUUCCCUUAGUAGCGGCGAGCGAAACGGGAAGAGCCCAAACCAACAAGCUUGCUUGUUGGGGUUGUAGGACACUCUAUACGGAGUUACAAAGGACGACAUUAGACGAAUCAUCUGGAAAGAUGAAUCAAAGAAGGUAAUAAUCCUGUAGUCGAAAAUGUUGUCUCUCUUGAGUGGAUCCUGAGUACGACGGAGCACGUGAAAUUCCGUCGGAAUCU
rnacentral:rRNA from 1 species